UAUGCAUUAAAAAGAUACUAAUACAUUUAAAGCCAGCAGCAGUGACACACACCUAAUCCCAACUAUCUGGGAGGCUGAGGCAAGAAGAUCACAAGUUCAAGGUCAGCCUGAACAAUAUCACCAGACCCAAUCUCAAAUAAAUAUAUAUAAAUAAAGAGUUGGGGAUGUGAUUUAGUGGAAUGCACCAGGGUUCAAUCCCCAGUAUCACCAAAAAACAUUUAAGAAAUAUGACACAUUAAGAAGGCCUCUGUAAACAUAAUCCUUUCUCAAUAUUUUUUCCUAUUCUGCUUCAUACGUAAAUAACCUAUAAAAUCAUACAUAAAACUAUCAACUCUUAUGGCCUAGAACUGCAUACACAUUUUGGAGUUUGAGAAUAAAUGUUCUCUUUGAUUUAUAGAUAACAUGCAGUAUUUGUAGUGUUUAGUUUCAUUCAAAUGCUUAUCACAAAUUCUUAUUGUCUCCCAACUUGUUCUGCUAAUAGACCUUUUCAGUUUACUGGUAAAGAUGCCAUGAAUUAAAAGUCAUAAUGGUCAAAUAAAUAUUAGAAAAAAGCAGAGAAAGUGGCUACCUAAUAUCACUAAAUCUUAUUAAAACCACUUCAGCUUGUAUGAACAACAAAAAACAUUAGUGAAGAAUGAAUACCAUUCACUUAAAAGGUAACUAACAAAAUCUAAAAUUUAGUCAACAAUGAAAUUAAAUCCAUGCAAAAAAAAUUCCACUGAGAUUCUGUUACAGAAACAGAACCAAUAACAUCCUAAUUUUCUAAAAUUUAUUUUUGAAUUAUCAUUUUGAUGAGUUAAAACUUUAAGGGUAAAUAAUGACACAAAAUGAUUUUAGAAAGGCAAACUUAUAAUUCCUGAUAUACAUUUCAUUAGUUUUUAUUUAAUGACUAGAAAUCCUUAUUCCUUCAGAAAAUAUUACAUAUUCAUUGAAACACAC
rnacentral:lncRNA from 1 species